UGGCACUCCUCCUGUCCGACUGUGGGUGCGACGAGUAGGUGUUUACUGCGAUGAGCACCGCAAAACGUGGCUUGUGGCUGCGGAAGAGGCAAGUGUCCUUUGAGCUUCCCAGUGGUUGUAGCUUUGCUAUUGCAGGUGCCUCUACUGCAUUGCCAGUAACUGCCUGCUCUUUUUGUUACUUUCCCCCAGGAGGAAGGUAUGCUGAGGGCUCGGAUCCAAAGAGUUCAGGUUCCCCUGGGUGAGGCGCUGCGACCCAGCCAGCUCCCCCCAUCCCGGCUGCCUCAUAUGUGGCAGCUGUCCCAGGGUGAGCAGUACAGGGAUAGUAACUCUCGCGUUUGGGAGAUAGAGCACCAUCUCAUGGUAAGGAUGGUGGCAACAAUAGGCCAUAGUCAUGCCUGUUUGUGAAGUCGUUUGAGAUCCUUGAGGGACGGCAAAGGACUGUUAUUUUGUUGAAGUCCGUUAGCUCAGCCACAGUAACUGUAGACGUAUUGAACUUUUCCUUGUCGCUUACAGCUUGGUGGUGUUGAAGAACUGCUGCUUAAACUCGUGCCUGGUGAUUAAUCUGGAGCAGUGGCUCUAGGAAGAUGUCGUUGUAUAUUUUGUACAAUAAAUGAUUCUCUCACCACUGAAAUGCAGCCACCUCUGAGGUGGAAGCAGUUUAACAACACACAGCAGCAUCACACAAGAGUUUAGGACAGGCAGUGAAGAGGAGUAUUGUGUCCAAGUGAAACAUCAGGGGGAGUUCUAGUUCUCUGAACAUGCCCCAGAAGGAUCCCUGCCAGAAACAAGCCUGUGAAAUACAGAAAUGCUUGCAAGCGAACAACUAUGUGGAGUCUAAGUGUGAAGCUGUGAUCCGAGAAAUGCGGAAGUGCUGCGCCCAGUACCCCAAGGGCAGAUCCAUCUGUUGUUCAGGGUUUGAGAAAGAAGAAAGGGAGAGAGAGAAGUUAAAGGUGACGUCAGAAGGAAUUCCCCCAUCACCUCAGUAACACAAUGCAGCUCCAGCAGGUGCCGGAGCAGGGACUCACCUGCAGAGCUCGUGUGUGGUUUUUUCAAGCCUUCUUUAGACUUUCAGGAAAGCCAGAUUGCUCCAAGGACACACCACCCGGCACACCAAAAAGUAUAACGCAGUACCAACAGAUGGCCUCCUUAACAGACUGUAUUUUCUGUACCAAAACAUCAUCUGCAUUGUCUUUGCAUUGCACCUGUGUCUGUGAAAAGUCAACUUGAUGUUUUUAGAAUGCUUACCUUACUCUAAUCCAUCCUUGCUCUCAAAACGGAGAACUGGAACCAAGUUAUUCUAGCUUCUGGAGUGAGAGGUACAGGAAAUGAGCUCAGACAAGUGAGUGAGUUUAAGCAUGACACAUGAAACAAGCCCAUCUUGACACAGCAAAGGUAUUGCUGCCGUCGUGCAGUAGUUCCAGACAUUUGCCUGUCCAGUGGUUCAAGCUCAAGAAAGGGAAUCAGGUCUGGGGAUUGUUCCUAGGUCUUGCAUAGAUCACGAGUGACUACCGUCACUUUGCCUAAGUGCCUCACUUUCCCACUGGACAGACUUUUGAUUACUUUCUAUUUGAAUUGCCUACACGCUGCUAUUUGCAUGACAAAGAUGUUACAGGAACAUUAUUUCAGGGAUUGCUACAGGAAUAGGGUUUUUUUUAAAAAAAGCAAUAUUCAUUUGAAAGAUCUGACUGUUGAUAUAAAAUUUAUAAAUUUAUAGUUGAAAACCUUUAAGCAAUAUGUUACAAACCCAGCAUAGUUCAACCCGCUGGUACCCAGAGGCCUAUCACAAAGCCCUGGGCUAGAUCCAAGAACUGAUUUAGGCGCUGCUUACUCAACAAGCAGUUGUAGGCACUUGCUUUCAACACUUUUACAGACUCACUCCCAAGCCGGCUGUGUCUGGACCCCAGGGAGAGAUGGCUUUUCAGAAGCUCUCACCUGUGCAGCAGAAUUUCCUGUGACCUGUAGGAAGAGCUCGGUAGACAGGUUCCUGCAUCACCCUUCAGAGCUGCUUAAGUCUCUCUGACCCCUGUAACAGGAGUCCAGGCACUUCAGUGGGUGCCAUGUCCAUUACAGGGCUUAGGCACCUAAAUACCAGACUUAGAACCCACUAGGCUCCUAACUCUGUCAUUAGAUCUAGCCGUAAAGGACUUUUGUGCUGUGAUCAAGUACAACUUAUGAAAUACAGCUUCAGUAAACAGACCACUGUAGUCUAGGCACAAUAGUUGAGUGUAUUGAAGCCUAGAAGAGCCAACCAUCUGUAUUCACUGCUCUGAAAUACCAUGAUACAAAAUAAAUGACUGGAACAAA